GUCCUAGUAGCUCAGCUGGAUAGAGCAACGGCCUUCUAAGCCGUAGGUCGGGAGUUCGAAUCUCUCCUGGGACG
rnacentral:tRNA from 1 species